GCCAGGUGUGAUGCCUCACAUCUGUAAUCCUAGCACAUUGGGAGGCUGAGGUGGGAGGAUUGCUUGAGCCCAGGAGUUCUAGACCAGCCUGGGCAAAAUGGCAAAAACCCAUCUCUA
rnacentral:SRP_RNA from 1 species